UGAUGCUUGUGAUGACACAGUGCUGCUGACCUUUAGGACGGGGGAGCAGAUGCUUCCUCCCUUUUGUGAAAAAGGUCACAAACGCUUUGAUGUGAACGCCACUGCCAAGCAGAGAGUGAGUGGGGUGUGUUGGCGAAGAACAGACGGAUCCAACCCUAGAGAACCUUUUCCACUGCGUCUCUACCUUUCCCAGAAUGCCUUGUUAUUCCCAAAAGGUCUGAAUAUGGAAACUUGUGAUUUGUUUCUGGUAUGUUUGCCCGCUGAGGGCAAACAAAGGAUAUCUGAAUAAGGAGCAAUGCAAGGCUUGCCCCAACCAACCAGUUUAAUUGGAACUAAGUAACAAAGCUACCUUUGCCGAAGGUAGAACUGCAUCUCCAAGUCCCUUGACAAGAGCACAGACAAGCAUCAAUGAUUCGUACCGAGCCCCCGUGGAAUACAAGGAGACUAUUUCUCUAAAUCUCUUUUUGGUUCAUUUGGAGAGUUUGCUGCACUCGUCUGUAGAGGUCUUCAUGCAACUCUGUAGUGCGAUGAUCCCCAUUAAGAGAAACAGCCCAGGAGGCACUCAAGGAUAAGAGGGUGCUUCAGAAUUUGAUGCCACUUCUCUUAGGACAAUGAUCAUUAACUGGCGUCCUCGGUGCAUUAGACCAGGAGCUGGCAGAGCAAUUGUCAAGAAAAGAAGAUACCAUUACGACUUUUUUUUUUUAUUUAAAAGAGAUUAUACGACUAGGUGAAGAUCUGACAUCUCAGGAUAACGCACCUUUUAUGCCAAACGAGGUAGGUUUAGACAUUUUAUUGUCUUGUUUAUGAUACACACACACUCACUAGAAGUUAAUUCGGUAACGUUACUGUCAUGCACGCGCAGAGAAUGCCGCUUCAGACAGCGCGCCAGUAGCGCAUCGAGUUUUCUCUCGCACUUACACGGACAAAAGCACACAAAAUAAUGUCAAAAUGACCAUUUUUGGAGAGUGACGGUCUUAA